AGUCGAACGGCAGCACGGACUUCGGUCUGGUGGCAGUGGCGAACGGGUGAGUAAUGUAUCGGAACGUGCCAAGUGGCGGGGGAUAACUACGCGAAAGCGUAGCUAAUACCAUACGCCCUUCCCAGGGAAAGCGGGGGACCUUCGGGCCUCGCACUAUUAGAGCGGCCGAUAUCGGAUUAGCUAGUUGGUGGGGUAACGGCUCGCAAGGCGACGAUCCGUAGCUGGUUUGAGAGAGGACGACCUUCACACUGGGACUGGAGACACGGCCCAGACUCCUACGGGAGGCAGCAGUGGGGGAAUUUUGGACAAUGGAAACCUGAUCCAGCCAUCCCCGCGUGUGCGAUGAAGACCUUCCGGGUUGUAAAGCACUUUUGGCAGGAAAGAAACGGCGGGAUAAUACCCCGUGCAACUAACGGUACCUGCAGAAUAAAGCACCGGCUAACUACGUGCCAGCAGCCGCCCGAUACGUAGAUUUCCGCGGCGUUAAUCGGAAUUACUGGGCGUAAAGCGUGCGCAGGCGGUUCGGAAAGAAAGAUGUAGGGAAAUCCAGGCUUAGCUUUGGAACUGCAUUUUUAACUGCCGAGCUAGAGUGUCAGAGAGGGAGUGGAAUUCCGCGUGUAGCAGUGAAAUGCGUAGAUAUGCGGAGGAACACCGAUGGCGAAGGCGGCCUCCUGGGAUAGCGCAGCUGCAGCGUGGGGAGCAAACAGGAUUUAGAUACCUGGUAGUCCACGCCUAAACGAUGUCAACUAGCUGUUGGGGCCUUCGGGCCUUGGUGGCGCAGCUAAGCGUGGUUGACCGCCUGGGAGUACGGUCGCAAGAUUAAAAACUCAAGGAAUUGGCAGGGACCCGCACAAGCGGUGGAUGAUGUGGAUUAAUUCGAUGCGCGCGAAAACGCACUACGCCGACCUUCUGCAGAUCCCGAAGAGAUUUGGGAGUACUCGCAAAGAGAACCGGAACACAGGUGCUGCAUGGCUGUCGUCAGCUCGUGUCGUGAGAUGUUGGGUUAAGUCCGCAACGAGCGCAACCUUGUCAUUAGUUGCUACGAAAGGGCACUCUAAUGAGACUGCCGGUGACAAACCGGAGGAAGAUUAAGAGGGAUGACGUCAAGUCCUCAUGGCCCUUAUGGGUAGGGCUUCACACGUCAUACAAUGGUCAGGACAGAGGGUCGCCAGCCCGCGAGGGAGCCAAUCAGAAACCCGAUCGUAGUCCGGAUCACCGGUCUGCAACUCGACUGCGUGCGAUCGGAAUCGCUAGUAAUCGCGGAUCAGCAUGUCACGGUGAAUACGUUCCCAGGUCUUUGGCUACCGCCCGUCACACCAUGGGAGUGGGUUUUACCAGAAGUAGUUAGCCUAACCGUAAAGGAGGGCGAUUACCACGGUAGGAUUCAUGACUGGGGUGAAGUCGUAACAAGGUAG
rnacentral:rRNA from 1 species